GACAGAGGGUGCAAACGUUGUUCGGAAUUACUGGGCGUAAAGCGCGUGUAGGCUGCUUCGCAAGUCGGGUGUGAAAGCCCUGGGCUCAACCUAGGAAGUGCACUCGAAACUGCGGAGCUGGAGUCUUGGAGAGGAAGGCGGAAUUCUCGGUGUAGAGGUGAAAUUCGUAGAUAUCGAGAGGAACACCGGUGGCGAAGGCGGCCUUCUGGACCGCAACUGACGCUGAGGCGCGAAAGCGUGGGGAGCAAACAGG
rnacentral:rRNA from 1 species